AUCGAACGCUGGCGGCAGGCUUAACACAUGCAAGUCGAGCGAGCGGCGGACGGGUGAGUAAUGUCUGGGAAACUGCCUGAUGGGGGGGGGUAACUACUGGAAACGGUAGCUAAUUACGCCUACCAUCCGUUUAGCCCAGAUGGGAUUAGCUAGUAGGUGGGGUAAUGGCUCACCUGGGCGGCGAUCCCUAGCUGGUCUGAGAGGAUGACGGGCCACACUGGAACGGAGACACGGCCCAGACUCCUACGGGAGGAAGCAGUGGGAAAUAUUGCACAAUGGGCGCAAGCCUGAUGCAGCCAUGCCGCGUGUGUGAAGAAGGCCUUCGGGUUGUAAAGCACUUUCAGCGAGGAGGCGUUACUCGCAGAAGAAGCACCGGCUAACUCCGUGCCAGCAGCCGCGGUAAUAC
rnacentral:rRNA from 1 species